AGGAAGGUAGUGUAGUUAACACCUGCAUUAUUUGACGUUACCUACAGAAGAAGACACCGGCUAACUCCGUGCCAGCAGCCGCGGUAAUACGGAGGGUGCGAGCGUUAAUCGGAAUUACUGGGCGUAAAGACGCAUGCAGGCGGCCGUCGUUAAGUCAGAUGUGAAAGACCCGGGGCGUUAACCUCGGAAUUGCAUUUGAAACUGGCAGGCUAGAGUCUUGUAGAGGGGGGUAGGAAUUUCUAGGUGUAGCGGUGAAAUAGCGUAGAGAUCUGAAGGAAUACCAGUGGCGAAGGCGGCCCCCUCGGACAAAGACUGACGCUCAGAUGCGAAAGCGUGGGGAGCAAACAGGAUUAGAUACCCUGGUAG
rnacentral:rRNA from 1 species